ensembl:lncRNA novel transcript, antisense to CLSTN3
CAGGCUGGGCAUGAUGGCUCAUGCCUGUAAAUCCUGGCACUUUGGGAGGCUGAGGCGGGAGGAUCCCUUGAGCUUAGGAGUUCGAGAUCAGCCUGGGCAACAUAGUGAAACCCCGUCUCUACAAAAAAUACAAAAAUUAUCCAGGUGUGGUGGUAGAUGCUUGUAGUCCCAGCUACUCAGGAGUAAAAAGGGAGAAGGCAUCAUCUCAGUAGGCAUGAUGAGCUCAGAGCCCCUGAAGUUGCCAAUGCCCGGGAUGUGCUGAGUUCCUGUACCACACGGAGCAGGGCCUAUUACAGUCUGCCAUCCAGAUAGGCCUAGGGCAAAGCCCCUUGGGAAACAAUCCCAGAUGACCCUGAAGGCACAGGCUCCAACAGACAUCCUCCCUGCAAUGAGCAAUGCUGUGCUGUGCCGCUGGUCUGGGAAUCCCAAGGGGAAUAGGAGGCCUGACCCAAAGGCACCGUUGGUCUGGUAGAGAGAUUAGACGUGGCACACAAAAGUUAAAAGAAAGGCAAAUAUGGUCAUCGCCAUAUGAGUGGAACAAACAACCAGAAGAGUUCAGAGGAGGGAGAGGUUAGUUCUGCCUAGGAUAAGAGGAGGGUGCUUGGAAAAGGAAGGUAGGAACGAUCAGAGAAAGUAGCAACUGAGCUAGCCUUUGAAGGAGGGUAGUACUGACCCAGAGUGGAUGGCGAGAAGCUUACUAAGGGGAGUAGAGGAACAUGAGGCA